AUUUGAAAGGACAGCAGGUGCGGGCACUUAACUGAAAAAAUGUAAAGAUUUACUUAAUUUAUUAAGACAAGAUUUGUCCCUUGUACGCUCAUCUAUCUUUUCAUAUCCGUGCAAAUCUUUGUAAAACAGAAAAUGGACACAAUUCAAUGGAUAUCAACAACAAAGAGGUAUACGGACGAGGAGGCAUACAAAGGUAUGUCAAUUGGUAUUGGUAUGUUUUGCAGAUCACAUGUACCAUCCUCCUCCCUUACCUCUUCAAUGAAAAUCCCAUAGUCCUCUACAUUAUGGACAAGGAAACCUGUUCAAUUACUAUGCACUCUAAAAUAAUUCUGGCUAUGGAUACGGAGAACAUCAACACAUUAACAUCAACACGCCAGAGGAUACACCUAUUGGACUUGGGGCUCUGCUGGGAGUGUACCUCAUUUUAGCAUUUUUUUUAUUCUGCUUUGCCACUAAAAUCAUAAUAAACACUAACAACUCAAA